UAUGUGAUCGUCUCUCGCAUAUCAAUAAGCGGAGGAAAAGAAACUAACAAGGAUUCCCCUAGUAACGGCGAGUGAAGCGGGAAGAGCUCAAAUUUGAAAUCUUAAAGGGUUUCCCUUUACGAAUUGUAGUUUAAAGAAGUGUUUUCUGUUGAGGUUUCGGUAAAAGUUCUUUGGAAUAGGACAUCAUAGAGGGUGAGAAUCCCGUAUUUGACCUUUACUUUCAACUUUGUGAUACACUUUCAAAGAGUCGGAUUGUUUGGGAAUGCAGUCCAAAAUGGGUGGUAAAUUUCAUCUAAAGCUAAAUAUUGGCGAGAGACCGAUAGCGAACAAGUACCGUGAGGGAAAGAUGAAAAGAACUUUGAAAAGAGAGUUAAACAGUACGUGAAAUUGUCAAAAGGGAAGCGUUUGACACCAGUGUUGUUUUUCUGAAAAUCAAUUAAAGAACUGUUUAUGCUAAGUUGUUUAGACUUUAUCAGCUAUCUGCUUAGUUUUGAGCUUUUCUUUAAUGCACUUUUCAGUUAACAAGUCAACAUCAAUUUCUUUUGCUGUAAAAAAGCUUGAGGAAGGUGGCUUGAGAUUCGUCUUAAGUGUUUAUAGCCUCUUGCCUAUGCAGUCGGAGAGAUUGAGGUCUGCAGCGUAGAUCCUUCGGGGCUAAAUGCAUUUGUGCUAAGUUAUAGCAUUUUAUAGACAAUUUGUUGACUAUGAUUUGUCUUGUAGCUUACUCGCUUAUGUUAUUUUACCUACGCUUAGGAUGUUGAUCUACAGAGCGAGAGU
rnacentral:rRNA from 1 species